rnacentral:lncRNA from 1 species
UUGUUUCUAAGAAUAGAGUCUUGAGUAAGAAAACCCUAGUAGCAUCUGUUUGGCAGCAAUCUCAGCAUAGUUCAGAGCUCUCAGCAUUUAAUCUGUGUAUUCUCAAAACAAAGAAAGCACAUGUGUAACUAGAAACGAUCUCAACUAUAUCUCUAUUUUCUACGUUACUCGAAUAUGUUGCUUAAAUAUCAGGUAUGCCCACCUGCUCGAGCUGAUUUUUUCCGUCUCUAAGUAUGAUAUGUUGUUUGUUUUGUGCAAUUUAUACCUUUGCUUGUUGAUAUAUUCCUUUUCUUUUGAACUAGCUGGUCGUUCUUUUAAAUAUGAAAGUUUGUGGUAUGAUAAGAUCCAAACUAAGAAUGGGAUUAUUCCUAAGAGAAUAGUGCGUUUCUAAUUGUUCUGGAAACAGAGGUACUCGAAGCUAAAUGAACUAAAAUAGUGUUUGAGAGACUACAGAGAGAGAGAGAGAGAGAGUUGUAUUAAACAUGAAUUACAAGUGAAGUAUUUUUCUGAUUUUUAGUCGAGCAGUGAUAGAAAGUAGUUGCAGUUGUUCAACUGAUCCAUGUGCGGCAUCACGUGCCACUAGUUCCUAACAACUUUCUAUCUAGCUAAAAAAUUGCAGUUGCUAUUGCACUAUUCUGAAGUUAUCUAAUAUAAAUAGAUCAUAUCAUAGUGUAUUGUGUAUGUCUAAAGAAUCAAUUAUAUUUUACAAUCAAAUUCUUCCGUUCUUGUCUAACUGAAACUAUGUUUACUGUCUACUAUAAUCUUAGGUAUGCCGCCUCUUUCGCAAGUUUUAUUAAGUUUCAUCUCUAAUUCUGCUUGUUUGGUUUCUUUGUAUACUAUUGUUGCUAAUGUUCUGAUAGUUGCUAGAGUGGUACUAAAAUUGAGAAAUCUAUCGUGAAUAACAACUGAAUCUGGGUGUAGCUCGUCGCACCAGACUUGCCUAGUGCGGGUUACCUCUCCUAUGUGGUUUGCCAGCUAUUGCAUAGGAGCGGGUGUUUUACCAUGUGCGCACCCAAAGGGUAGCGACCGUGGAUUUUCCUUGUCAUUAAAAAAAAACAACUCAACAAUUGUUCAACAUUUACGGCAAAUAGAGCAGGCGGAAAGAGUUGUUGUAGUUGUUAAAACUGAUCCACAUGGGUAGUAACGUGCCAUUAAAUCCUGAGAGAUUUCUAUCUAACUAAAAUAAAUUAGGAAUUUCAAUCAUUAAUUUCAUUUAUUGCUUGAUGGCAUGAAGUUUCAUUUCUAGCCGCUUUCUUUGUAUUUGGUGUGGCUCAGCCUCUCCGGGGAAAAUUAAAUAUAUUAAGUGGGCAGUCAUAUUAUUUAAUGAUAAGCAUAUAUAUAAAAACAUAUAGCAAAGACAAGAAUGAGAAACUCUUUUUCUAGUACAUUUAUUAUGCCUUAUAGUUUGUCAACAAACCUCUGGAACAAUUUAACCUCCUCUUCUUCCUCAUAAUCGUGGAGUUCUGCUAUUUCGAGCAUCUAACAAGAACAGAAUAUUGUAGUAAGAAAAUGGGAGCAGGAAAUAGGAAAAAAAACAGGAAAAUAUAAGAGGUUAGUAACUGAAGAAUGUAGUUUAAAGCACAACAACACCCAUAUUGCUUCUGUGGAAAUUUCUUCACUUUCCUCCACAAGAGUUUGUAUUGUCUCUAGUUUCUUUUGGAGCAUGAUAAUUCCUCUAUGGAGGUCUUCCUACUCACUAGUAACACCAUUCAGAUUUCUCUAUUAUUAUUCACUUAUGCUCCUUUUGCUAACAAUAUCAUCAUACUUGGUAAUAUCAAUCUGUAAGUUCUCACUGUAACAGCGCUAAACAUCAUAAUUAUCCUAAAUAUAUAAUUAAUUAUUUGAUUAAUAAGAUGGAGGGGUAUUUUGGGGAGAGAGGACCGACAUUGGGCUCUUGAAGUGAAGUCUUGCUCCACCUAAGUUCAAACCUAGGUGCAACCAAUGAAUUAAAGUGGUUUUUUAUUUAAGCUAUUGAAUUAAUGUAAUUAAUUAAUAAUGAUUAUUCAUUAUCUGAUUUAAAGUAAAAUAAAAAUCAAAUUUUUAUUAAAUAAACAAAACCUUAUUGACUAAGUUCUAAAACUAGACUCCUAAGCCUCCUAGAACUCCCACUCUCUCACGUUUAUCUCUCCACUCUCACGCUCAAUCUCUCUUAUUCUUUCUCACAUUUUUUCUCUGCCAAAAUAAUAUACAAAAGCAGAAAAAAACCAAGUUCUUCACCCUAGAAGAACUCACACGAAAUAAUAAGAAAACAAACGUUAAUCUCACACUAGGCUAAGGGAGGUUGUCAUUCGAGAGGAGUUGAUAUUGAGGAGGCCUAAACGUGUGCUUGGGUGAAGUUUUUGGGAAGCAGGUCAAGAUUUUAACGUCAAAAAGGUAUGGGUUCUCUUCCCUCUUGGUCGCUUUCCAAAGACACCCCUUAAGGUUCAGACGAAUCUAUUCCAAAAACUAGGAUUGUUCCCCGUUGCAUGUCCCUGUCACUAGCUCCCAUUGAAUCAUAGGUUGGUUAUGUUUGCUGGUAGAAAACUAGGGAUGAAACGUGUUUUCAUGAUGACUAUGUGUUUAUAUGUAUGUUUAGAAUUAUGUGACUUAUGUUGAUGUUUCCAAAAAUAUAAUUAUGUGUGUAUGUGUGUGUUGUCGUGGCUAUUGUUCAUGGUUUAGGACUUGAAAUUGCAUGAUAGUUCUUUAUAUUUCAUGUACACAUGUUGAUGUAAAUGUGAUGUUCAUAUGGGUUGAACUGUGGCUGAUUUGAGGGAUAAUCGCUUGUCUAAACGAAUCCAUCAAAACACACCAAAUACGUUCUAAAUGCACUACGAAAUUCCCCUAAGAACUAAGGUGUAAUUUGAUGAAAGGAUGCUGAAAAAUUAAAAGAAAACUUGCAGCUUCUAAAGAUGAAUUUCGGUCAGCAAAGAGGGUUCAAAAUGUUGAAAAAAAUGAAUUAAAACAAGUGAGGUCAUGGAGGAUUGAACUCGUGACCUCACCAUGUUAAAAACCAUGAAAAUAAAGAAGUUAAAAUAAAUGUGCUGAAUGGGAUUCGAACCAUGGUAUUAGCUUGAAAAUGUAAGUUAAAACAAAAAAAUAAGAAAUAAGAGGAGUGAGAUUCGAAUCCACUACCUCUUAAUCAGAUUUAAAGAGGAGAAUAAAAGAAAAAUAAAGGGGGAGGCAUGUGGGAAUCGAACCCACGACCUUUAAGGAAGAUUAAGGAGGAGAAUAAAAAAAAUCUAAAGGGGGAGGCGUGUGGGAAUUGAACCCACAACCUCUUAGGCAGAUUAAGGAGGUGAAUAAAAGUAAAAUCAAGGGGGAGGCUUGUGGGAAUCGAACGCACGACCUCUUAGGCAGAUUUAAGGAGGAGAAUAAAAGAAAAAUAAAGGGGGAGGCGUGUGGAAAUCUAACCCACGACCUCUUAAUUAGAUUUAAGGAGGAGAAUAAAAGAAAAAUAAAGAGAGGUUGUUGGGCUUUUAUCCCAUAACCUCAUAGACAACUCGAAAUAGACAAGGAGAAAUAGAUAAAAAAUAAAUAAAUAAAAGGGGAUGUGGGGCUUUGAUCCCACAACCCCUCGGCCAAGAUAAAGAAUUUUCAAAUGAUAGAACUAAAAAGGAAAUAGUGAUGUUAGGGCUCGAUCUAGGGUCCCAAUGACACGUGGAUUAGAAUAAAUAAAAAGAAAAAUGUAAAGUGUUAUCCAAGGGAUUUUAAAUUGGGUUCCCUUGCCCGAAUUCCGUACAUGAAUUAAAUAUUCAAGAAUAAUGCUGCCUACUGAGAUCGAAAUUGAGAUCUUGGCAUAAAUACAAGAUGCAUAAGUCUUGUACUACAUAAUCUUCGAAGAUAUGAAUUAUUUAAACAAACGAUGAAUGAAGCCUCAUGACUUGUAUGUAUAGACCCAUAAGUCUAGCAUACGUUUAAAAUAAGUCAACCUAAGAUGUAUGUAAUGAAAUGAUGUAACCCUAGAAGGGUUAAGUAAGAGGGUAACACACUAAAUGUCCAUGUCCGUUGGCACAUAAUGAAAUGAACAAUGAAAUGAUGAAAUGAACAAAGAAAUGAUGAAAUGAACAAUGUAAUUAUGAAACCCUAUAAGGGUUAAGUAUGAGUGUGAAACACACUAAAUGUCCAAUUGCAUUGGCAUAUGAUGAAAUGAACAUUCACGUAAAAUGGGGUGCGUAAUUAUGAAGAGAAAAUUUACUAAUGUUAAUGAACGUGGUGACAACAUGAUAUGAGGCUUAUGUGAAAGAUGAGAGCAAUCUUAAAUGAUCCUAAGUAAAUGUUACCAAAACGUACUCACCUAUGAGAGUGUAAAGUUAAUGAAGAGACUUGUCUCUAUGAACACUCUAAUGAAAGUAUUGAGAUUAACACAUUGAAUACUAAUGAUGAGAUGAGAAAUCAUCUAUUGAGAUAUGAUGUUCUCAUACUAGAAGCCAACUUCCGUGACGUAUGCGUUAAAUAUAAUGAAACUUUAUAAUGAGAAUCGAUAGACUAGCUAUGAGCGGUGCUUCCUUCUUUCGGAAGGGCGGAGGUUCAUGUAACUCUCAUUAGAUCAGACUGUCCGGUAUGUCGGGUAUAGGUCUCCUUAUAUCUCCUAGUAUUCGAACCUAUACUGCCAAUAUAGGGAUCUGGCGGGGUUCAAUCCCCAUGUACGCUAGCAUGUUUUGGGUAACUUUGGCUGGUGAUUCCACCUUUUUCGGUGUGAGGUUUCAUGACACUGGAUUUCAUGAUGCUCACAUGAUCUUUUGGGUUAAAGUUAAAGUUUAUAAUGAAUGAAUGAGGUCAGCCUCAAAUGAUGCACAUAACAAAAUGAGCGAUACCAAAGGUGUUAGGAUAGGAUAAUCAAAAGGUGAGUUAGAUUCAAGUAAUGACAUUAGGUCAUUCUUCACCAUUGCACAACGAACCCGAUGAAAGGCUUAAACUACAUCCUAGGUAUAGCUUGUGUUUACUCUGGCCCAUAAAUGAAAUAAAAUGAAGUACGUAUGAAUGAACAAUACAUUAAGAUUCCGGUAAACAUUCAAGUGUUCUUCUUGCUACUUUGCCAUUUUGAUUUUGUUCGAGUAAAAGUUGGAUCAACUUGUUUGCAUUGCUACCAUUCCUAAUCUAUUUAACCGGUUAGUAUUCGGAAUUAGCAUUUACAUUAUUUUUUAUAUUCGUACAUUUGUGUGAGCUCAUUGUUCUAUUCUUUUGUUAUGUAUAAGUUGUUAAACAAUUGCAUAUUGUCUCACCUUGAGUAAUAAAUGUGAUUACUUGUGUAGUUAUUUGAUUGCUUUAACAGGUUUCAAACUUGAAAUUCAAGUUGAAGAUGAACCAUGAAGAAAGAUUUAUUUGUUUAUUUGAAUCUAAAUUUUUUUUCUUAUUUUAUUUAUUCUAAUGUUGUAAUAUUUGUAACUCUAGAGCUCUCAUAUAUAAAUUUAUUUGGAGAUCGUCUAUGGGAGGGGGAUUUACAUGCCUACUUGUUCAUUGUAAUUUUUUUUAAAAAAGUUAGAAAUCAUGCCUAUAGGUUUAUCUUUAACCACCUAGAAUUAUUGUUUGUAGGUGUUAUAAUCUAACCAAUUUUCAAUUUGUCUGGCGCUUUUGUUAAUAAGUCUUAAAAAAAAUUAAUAACUAGAUUCCAUUAAUUUUGAAUGUUAAAAUCAAAUCAUAAUAAUUUAGUAGGCUAAUUAGGUGUUUAAAAAUGUUAUAACUUUUUAGCAUUAUCUUGUCAUGUAGAAACCAGGCCUAACGAUUAAUUUGUUCAUAUCAUUUAGAUUUACAAAAUCAUGCAUGCAUGUGUUACUAAAAUUAGUUAAUAUUUGUCCCUUUUUAAGAUCUCUGCACUCAUGAUGCAAUAUGUCGUUUCUAAAAUAGUAAUAUUAAAUUAGAAUCAUUUCAUGCACUUAACAAAUUACUUAGCUUUUAAAAUAUAUUUCAUAGUAAAACUUUUGCAUUUAAUAAAUUUACCACCUUAAUAUUCUACUAGUUUUUUUUCUUACUUACAAAGUUUUGCAAACAUAAUUUUCUUAAAAGUCAUUAUUCAAUCUUUUUUUAAAACUUUGGAUUGAUUAUGACAUUGUUUAUUUUUGAAAUAAAUUAUAAGCACUAUCUCCUAACCUAUCGUUAGUGGGAAAGUCAAAGGAACUAUGAGGUCUAGUUCCAAUUUUUAAAAUUAAACCGACGCGUCCUUGGAAGUACCACCUACCCAUGAAUUUCAAAAGGAAUUAUGUGUAUUUAUGUGCAUACAUGUAAACUAAAUCUUUUAAAUCAUUUACAAAAACAUAAACUAUUUUUUAGACCGACCUCAAAUCAAAAUUGUUUCUAUGGUGGAGGAGCGCGAUCAACAAUAUCGUGGCAUCAUCCCUAUAAAGAAACAAACAUUUUUUUAAAAAUAAAAAUUCCUUCUCAAAACUUAUCAAAUUUCAAACUUUACUUUCGCACAUACUAAUCGCUUAGUUUUUUCCAAUUUAGUUUAUAACAUAGUCUCAUAUGCUUAAAUAAAAAUAAAACUUGAUUGUUUAUUUAUUGCUAUCACCUAGCCUUGCAUGCUCAAAUUAAUGAAAAAGUAAUAAAAUAGUAUUAAUUUUUUUUUGUUAUCACUUAGCAAGAUUAAAUAAAUUAAUAAAUGAAGUGACCUUGACUGUUAAUUGUAACCCUCACAUAGAUUGCAUGAAAUACGGUCGGGACCCACAUUUGUGGACCUCAAGGGAUGCCUAACACCUUCCCCUCGAGGUAAUUUGGACCCUUACCCUAAUCUCUGGCUCGUUGAACUUAGCUAGACUUAGUUAGGUUAGAUAGGUGCCCUAACGCGCCUUAAUUCGUUAGGUGGCGACUCCAAACUCAAAAUUCCAAAAUAGUUGUUAGGUCGUGCACAAAACCCGUUUUCUUCAAAAAUGGGGUGCGACACAAAGUGUUACUGAAACUUACCCCACAAAUCUGGAAACAGGUUAUAAGUAAUAAUAGACAUCGGGGUUUGAAUCCUAAAUAUGAUGGUCCAUUCGAAGUGGUGAAAUGAGUGAGUGAAGUUGCUUAUAGAUUUAAGCUGCCAGAAAGGUUGAAAAUUCAUCCCACUUUCCAUGUGAGUUUCUUGAAACCUUACUUUGCAGAUGCAGAUGAUCCGGACAAAAACAGGUCAAAGAGGGUCCUUUAUCGGUACCUACAUAGUAUGAUGCUGAAAUUGAUAAGAUCCUUGAUCACUGAGUUUUGGGCACAAGUAAGAAGAAUAUUGAGAUAGAAUUCGUGGUUCAUUCGAAAGGAAAGAGUGCAGUUGAUGCAGUUUGGGAGAAGGCGAAAGACUUAUGGCAGUUUGAUGCUCAAAUCGAGGACUAUCUUAAAAUAGUCUCGAUGAGGACAUCGAGUUCAAGUGGUGCGGGUAGUCUGUUAGACCCAUAAACUACUUUAUCUAAGUAUGUGCAGAUAUGUCAAGGACUUAGGCAUUGGUCUUGACAUGAAUGGGGGCAAAAUAGUGCAACACAUGUUCAAGGUGCUUGAGUGUUGUCAAAGCAACUUGAACAUGCAAGGAUUACGUGCGGGCUGGAGUCAUCAGCAAGGCAGCGUAUUGGCUUGACAAGUCAAAGUUGUGAAGACUUGACGAUGGCAAAAACAAAGGCAUUUCACGUGAAUUGCUGAAAUAAAACAAAGUGUUGGAGGGAAGCUAAAAUAUUCUAAGUAUUGGGAGCUGACUGAAAUAUUCUAAGUGUUGGAAUGUAGCCUGAAAUAUUCUAAGUAUUAGAAAUAUUUCCUGUGGAUAAGGAUGUAAUUUGAAUUAGAUUCCAUCUGUUAGAAAUAUAGUUGUUGGAAACUUUAGUUUGAAUCCUGUGAUGACAAGUGUCGGACAAGUGUCAUUUUUAACUGCUACAUGUAACUGCCAUGUGCAGAAAUUUUAUUAAGGUGGAUAUUUUGUUUAAGUCUAAGGAGAGUGAUUUCUGGCCUUAGACAAAUUCGUGAAGCCUUCCCUUUGUACUAAUUAUAAGAUUAAUAAAGGUUGGGACGAGUUCUUGUACAUUCUGUUCGCUGUUCAACUUUGCUGCUUAAGUAUUUCUAUACUUAGUCAAAUCUGUGUGAGUAAGAUAGGCUGAAAGUUGCAGACGUUUGCAAGACUGCCUAUGGAGGUGUUCGAUAAAAAUAAACCGACCCUCUUUCAAUAACCCUCUUACCAAAGGUUAUCCUAAGACUUACUUAAGUAAAACAAGAAGAGACUGUCCAUACACCCUCUUCAAGCACACCUAAUAAUCCUUAAGACUACAUAAGAUAAGAUCAUUCCCUUUGCACUACAUAGACUUUCUACCAAAGGUUACUCUAAGACUCAGUUUAGUAAGACAUGAAAAGACCACCCAUACACCCUCUUCAAGCCUACCUAGGAAAUCCUCAAAGCUACCCUUGAUACGGAUCCUUUUAUUCAACCUACAUUAACUUAAAUAAUAAUCAUUCAUUAAGUCAAUUAAUAUACAAUUAAGCAUUUAGAGGACAUCACGUAAUGGUUUUGGAGAAGACCUAGGGAAACCAAAUCCUAGCAUCUUCAAAGCCUACUCGUUCAAUGUCUAGAUAGUGUGCGAGUCGACUAACUAAAUGUUGUAGAACUUCUCCAACACUAGAAUGCAUCCUACAUGAUGUAAAUAUGCAUUAACAUUCAUAGACCAUACUAUCUAGACAUGGAAUGCGGAGUCUACCCUACUCCGAUGGAGUGUGUUUUACUUGCCAAGGGUAGAACUAGGACACAUCCCAUGUAGGCAUAUGACUAAGGAAUAUCAAGGGUUUGUUUGUAUCCUAGUCUCAUAAUAAGUAGAGUCACUACCACAAGCAUAUUCUCUCGGUGCUUUGCCUUAGUUCUCAUUAAGUAAGUUCAAUCACAAUAAGGCAUAUGAAAAGGCAACACUUCAUAGUAUUACCAAAGCAUAAUACCUCUACCAAGGAUGGGUCCUCUAGGGCUGCUACUUAAUGGUUAUAUGGAUAGCUCAAUAACUUCCUUAGAGAUGGUUUCAUGUUGUUCCAACAAACCUAUCCCUAAUUCAAUCAUUCACACAAGAAGGAUACUAUUACGUCUUUCGAUUUCAAGGAUAUCAUAAUAUUCUUUCUAUAUUGAAGCUUCCAAGUUAUUGACCUUCUUUACAGGUCCAAGGUCAUUUACUAGUCAUACUUAGAAGGGUACCAUCUUAGGACUACCGAUCCUAGACUUUCAUUCAACAUUUAUUCAUACACAUACACAUAUAUGACACAGGUACUUAAUGUUACAAAGUCAAGAGUCAACCUUCAUAUACUAAGCAUGUAUAGUUUUCCCGGACAUGGACCCCAACUAAUGCAAGAUUAAUAACUUUUUAAAACAGAAACUGGUACUAAAUACCCUAAUGAGGAGAACUCACCAACUGUGGAUUGGAAGUUCUAAACACUUACAAAGAACUCACCAACUGUGGAUUGGAAGUUCUAAACACUUACAAGUGUAUAGAAGUAAUAAUAAUGUUUUUUCCUAAGAAAUUUUUUACAACCAACAUACACCAUGUAGGUUCAUGUUGUCUAUCUUAUAAUCCAAGUAGGAAGGGUUGCCCUAUAACUUACCGGGGUAUACAUCAUAUUUAUCUGAUGUGCAUCCACUAACUUGGCAAAGGUCUAAAAGAGUUGACUUUCAAAGCGACAUAAUCAAUCCUACAUCGGCACACAGUUAUGGGACACAACCUUUAUAAGUUAAAGUUCUCUCGGUGCAAAUAAUCCUCCCACAAUAAUACUUAUAUGAUAUAGUCAUAUUUAUGUAGACUAUAUGUAUAUCUUAACAAAGUGUGAGAGAGCUAAAUCUUUCUCUCUAAAUCAUAUGUAAAAAAUUUCUUUUUAAAACAUAUCUUUCAAAUCAAGUUCAUCGCUUAAAUAAUGAGAAACUUUCGAUAACAUACAUAUGUUGUGAUUUCUCAAAAUUUAAUUAAUAGCAUAACCAGUUCUAAAAUCAUGCUUUGAACAUAUAAGCUUCAUGAGUCAUAAAAUAAUGUCAUGUCAAGAACUAAUAAGGAUUAUAAUAGUAAAGAAUUCAUUAUCAUAAAUAAAUAGUUCUAAAAAUCAUUCCGGGUCAUAAAAUGGUGAAGUUGGAAGAAGAUUUAUAAACCCUAACUAUGGAAUUAAAUUCAUAAAAUUUAGGAGUUUCGAUAUGAGGAAGAAAGGAAUUCUACAUUGAAGUCCUACAUAACUUAAUUGAUCCAAUUACCCAAGAAAAUGUAUGAUCAUGGAUGAAGAACCACAAAACUUUUCUUGAACAUUGGUGAUGAGUUCAUGAAGUGUUGUCUUUUAACUCUACUAAUUUAAUGAGUAGGAGAUAUUAACUGGUGUUAAAAUAAAGAAACUAUGAAAUUCUAUGGUCAAAUCUUACCUUGGUUGAUGGAUGAACCUUGGAGGAAAUUAGUUUCUUGAGAUUUUCUCUUUGUAGAGUAAAAUUUUGAACUAGGGAGGUGACACACGACUUUUUGGUCUUCUAUUAGUAUUUCUGACGUGUCCUAUCAUCCAUAUAAUUUCUUGGGCAUGCAGCAGACAUGCAGCAAGGCAGUAGUCAUUGCCUCUAAAUGGGUUGAUGCCUUGAAAACUAGAAUCACAUACCUAGAAUUUUGAUAGAUCAUGGGUUACCUAAUUCUUCAUAUUCUAGGAGAUAUGAUAGAUUGAAGUUGACCCUUAUAUGAACUCAUGCGAAAAACAUAGCAAGUAGAAAAUCCUUGCGCUCACCCUAGUCUUAUAGGUUCCUAUGACCGUAAACCAUAUCUAAUACAUUUCCCUCACUUGGGAAUGAACCUUAAGACACAUAUAUACAAAUUAGAAACCAUCACGUUCGACCUAUAUCAUAUGACAGAUGGUUCAGAUAUUUUUUAAAAGACAUAGGCGUUGAAGUGUGCGACCAUCUAAUCUAAAACACAUUUUUUAGUUGAUUAUAUUUUCAACACGCCUCCAGAAGUAAGGGCUUGAUUUACUUUCAAGGGCCAAGCACGUGGAAAUUCUUUUUGAUUUUGGUAGCGGUCAAAUUCGAUCACUGGACCUUUGCCUGCUCGGAUAUCAUGUUGAAGUGUGUGACCAUCUUUUCUAAAAGUUUAAGCUAUUAGAGAGAGCACACUUUUAUUAUUCGAUUAUAUUUUCAACAAUAGGGCAUUACAAUUGUAGUCCAUAUUUUCACAUUUUUAUUUGUAUAAGCUUGACUUCAAGACUUUACUUUUGUUAUUUCCUUUAUUUUUAUUUUCAUGUUUUGAGAUAUAUUCGAUUAUGAUGAAAAAUUGACUUACAUAUCCAUCGAAAAGAGUAGAUACAGUCAUGGCCUUGAAUUUAGCAGUUUUCUAUAGAACUUAUUUUCUUCAUCAUUGUAAUUAGUAAAGAUUGUUACCUCAUUAGGAAUUUAAAAUAAGGUCUAGCCCCACCUUCCUUGCACUUGGGGUUGUUGAGGAUUUUUAUUUUAUUAAUAAAUUCCGCUAGAUACGCUGUCUAGAGGUAUAAAUUUGUCAAAAAAAAAAAAAGAUUCAGUAAUUUAUCACUUGAUAUAUUCUUAAACUAAAGGAUAUUUAACCUGGAUAUUGGACUCCUAAAAUAUUGGAAUGAAUUAUAUUUGUAGAUCACUUUGAAUUCUGCCUUUUUCUCUAUUCUUUUCAAUAGAAAAUUUUUCCCUUGUUGAUUAUGAAGAGGAGAAGGUUUAAUGCAGAGAAAUUUCUCUCUUGUGUUAAAAUUGUCUGGUUGCAUUGUUGUGAUUGAAUAGAUAAAUGUUGAGUAAUUGUAUCAAAGUAAAUGUAUAAAGCACAAACACAGUGAAGCAAGCCAUUUAAGAAGUUCCGUUUAUUAGCUUGGACUUGUCUAUACAUUUUCCUAGUUCGAAAGGAUACAAAUUUAUUUGCUAAGACUUGUCUAUGCUUUUGAACUCUCAAAUAUGACUUUGAAAUUAGAUUCUCGAAACAGUUACGAAUAUUUCUUGGAAUGGUUGAGUCAUAUUUGUCAUGCAACAGAUCAAACAUGGACAUGUUUAAUUUACAAUUUUUUGUGCUGCUGCUGAUCUUAUUUCAUGCUUCUUUUUCUGCCAUACACGCAACAAGCAUACUGUGUUACUGAGUAGAAGGAGUGCCAUUAAGCCACGCCAUACUAAAAUUCCAAUUUCAAUGAUCUGACCAAGUGCUUGACUGUCCUUGCCAGGCGUGAGAAUGUAAAUUGAUAUGCCAUAACUGAGUGCUAUCGAGGAAACUGUCGACCACAUGAUUACCAUCAAACCCCACAUGAAAAGCCUGCGCCUGAAGGGCAAUCCACUUAUCAGCAGCAUUAUUUUGCUGAG